rnacentral:rRNA from 1 species
GUUGAACGCUGGCGGCAGGCCUAACACAUGCAAGUCGAACGGUAACAGGAAGCAGCUUGCUGCUUUGCUGACGAGUGGCGCACGUGUGAGUAAUGUCUGGGACCCUGCCUGAUGGAGGGGGAUAACUACUGGAAACGGUACCUAAUACCGCAUAACGUCUCAACCCCAAAGUGGAGGACCUUCGGGCCUCUUGCCAUCGGCUUAUCCCAGAUGGGAUUAGCUAGUAGGUAGGGUAACGGCUCACCUAGGCGACGAUCCGUAGCUGGUCUGAGAGGGUGACCGGCCACACUGGAACUGAGACACGGUCCAGACUCCUACGGGAGGCAGCAGUGGGGAAUAUUGCACAAUGGGCGCAAGCCUGAUGCAGCCACGCCGCGUGUAUGAAGAAGGCCUUCGGGUUGUAAAGUACUUUCAGCAGGGAGGAAGGGAGUAAAGUUAAUACCUUGGCUCAUUGACGGUACCCGCAGAAGAAGCACCGGCUAACUCCGUG